rnacentral:rRNA from 1 species
GGGUGAGUAACACGUGGGUAAUCUGCCCUGCACUUCGGGAUAAGCCUGGGAAACCGGGUCUAAUACCGGAUAUGACCUCGGGACGCAUGUCCCGAGGUGGAAAGCUUUUGCGGUGUGGGAUGGGCCCGCGGCCUAUCAGCUUGUUGGUGGGGUGAUGGCCUACCAAGGCGACGACGGGUAGCCGGCCUGAGAGGGUGUCCGGCCACACUGGGACUGAGAUACGGCCCAGACUCCUACGGGAGGCAGCAGUGGGGAAUAUUGCACAAUGGGCGCAAGCCUGAUGCAGCGACGCCGCGUGGGGGAUGACGGCCUUCGGGUUGUAAACCUCUUUCAGCAGGGACGAAGCGCAAGUGACGGUACCUGCAGAAGAAGCACCGGCCAACUACGUGCCAGCAGCCGCGAUAAUACGUAGGGUGCGAGCGUUGUCCGGAAUUACUGGGCGUAAAGAGCUCGUAGGUGGUUUGUCGCGUUGUUCGUGAAAACCGGGGGCUUAACCCUCGGCGUGCGGGCGAUACGGGCAGACUAGAGUACUGCAGGGGAGACUGGAAUUCCUGGUGUAGCGGUGGAAUGCGCAGAUAUCAGGAGGAACACCGGUGGCGAAGGCGGGUCUCUGGGCAGUAACUGACGCUGAGGAGCGAAAGCGUGGGGAGCGAACAGGAUUAGAUACCCUGGUAGUCCACGCCGUAAACGGUGGGUACUAGGUGUGGGUUUCCUUCCUUGGGAUCCGUGCCGUAGCUAACGCAUUAAGUACCCCGCCUGGGGAGUACGGCCGCAAGGCUAAAACUCAAAGGAA